AUCUGAAAGCAGGAUCAGAAUGAGCUCUCCCGAGUGAUGCAUUGGGGGAAAAGACUUCAGGAGCAGAUUGUAUUUAUAUAGACACACCUGACUUGCCUAGGUGUUCAGCAGACAGACCUGCUUUGCCAAAGUGAUCAAUUUUGGCAGGUUUUCGGUUGCAAUUCACUUUCAUAUUGAGUGCAGGGGGAUGGUAGUUGGACCCAUGUGGAUGCACCUCUGAACUCGGACUCUUCACUGACUAAGGACAACCAACUUGCUGCUUUAGGUGACGCCCACUGCUAACACUUCAGGUACAACAAUGGAAAAUCCAGACAGGGUGGAUGGCCCGUCAGUGAGGACAAU